UACGUAGGGUGCAAGCGUUGUCCGGAAUUAUUGGGUUUAAAGGGUGCGUAGGCGGCUAAUUAAGUCAGCGGUGAAAUUCCACAGCUUAACUGUGAGAACUGCCAUUGAUACUGGUUGGCUUGAGUACAGAUGAGGUAGGCGGAAUUGACAGUGUAGCGGUGAAAUGCUUAGAUAUUGUCAAGAACACCUAUUGCGAAGGCAGCUUACUAAACUGUAACUGACGCUGAGGCACGAAAGCGUGGGGAUCAAACAGG
rnacentral:rRNA from 1 species